GGAACUGUUAGUACCUAAGUGUACUCUCAUUACACCAUAGAAUAACUUCUUUCUGGUUCGAACAAAGCCUUAUGAUGUCUUCACUAGUGGUUGGCAUAGUCCAGGGGAUAUGACUCUGCAUUGCGGGCAUUGGAGAGAGUGAGAGCCUUGUCGUGCCCGGACUCUGUUGCACCACAAUGCGUUGUCGGGGAGUCGGGUUGUUUAGGAAUGCAACCCUAAUUGGGCGGUAAAUUGCAUCCAAGCUUAAAUACGGGUGAGAGACCGAUAACAAACAAGUACCGCAAGGGAAAUAUGAAAAGGACUUUGAAAAGAGAGCCAAAGAGUGCUUGAAAUUGUCGGGAGGGGAGUGGAUGGAGGCCUGUGAUGCGCCUUGGUCAGAUGUGGAACCAUGACGAGCCAGUCCAUCGAUCAACUUAGGGCGUGGACUGACAUGGUUAGGGGCAACAACUCAAACCCGGGAUGUAGUCAUGCCCGUGGAGACGUCAUCUCCUCGAUCAUGGAACGCAGCACGCAUUGUUGCAGCGUGCCUCCCGACACAUGCGCACUUUGGGCAUUGCCCUACGGGCCCCCCAUUCAGCCUAUCUUGAAACUUGGAUCAAGGAGUCCAACAUGUGUGUGAGUCAAUGAGCUAGUGAACCUAUAAGGCACAAGGAAGCUGAUUGGCAGGAUCCUCCCUCGCGGGGUGCACCAUCAAUGGAGCUCGAUCUUAUGACAAGGGUUCAAGUGAGAGCAUGCCUGUCGGGACCCAAAAAAUGGUAAACUAUGCCUGAGCGGGGUGAAGCCAAAGGAAACUCUGGCGGAGGCCCGUAGCUAUAUUGAUGUGCAAAUCUUUCAUCUGACUUUAGGAUAGGGGUUAAAGACUAAUCGAACCAUCUAGUAGUUGGUUCCCUCCGAAGUUUUGCUCAAGAUAGCUAGAGCCCACAUACUAGUUCUAUUGGGUAAAGCCAAUGAUUAAAGGCAUUGGGGGUGCAAUGCCCUCAACCUAUUCUCAAGUCCAAAUAGGUAAGACGGCGUGACUACUCCAUUGAGCCACGCCACUAAAUUGAGAGCUCCAAGUGGGCCAUUUUUGGUAAGCAGAAUUAGCGAUAUGGGAUAAUCAAAAGUCAGGUUACGGUGCCCAAUUAUGCGCUAACCUAGAACCCACAAAGGAUGUUGAUUGAUUAAGACAGCAGGACAGUGGUCAUGGAAGUUGAAAUCCGUUAAGGAGUGUGUAACAACUCACUUGCCGAAUCAACUAACCUCGAAAAUGGAUGGCGCUGAAGCACACGCCCUAUUCCAGGUCAUCGAGGCAACAACUAGGCAUCGAUGAGUAAGAGGGUGUGAUAGUCACCUCAAAAGCCAAGGCGCGAGUUUGGGCAGAGCGGCCGUCAAUGUGGAUCUUGGUGGUAGUAGCAAAUAUUCAAAUGAGAACUUUAAAGGCUGAAGAGGGGAAAAGUUCCAUGUGAACGACACUUACACAUGGGUUAGUCAAUCCUAAGAGGCGGUGGAAGCCCGUCCGACAAUGCGCGAUGUGCAAGCUUUGAAAGGGAAUAGGGUUAACAUUACUAAAACGAGACGUGAUAGUUGACGACAACGUUAAGGAGUUCGAAAACGUCAUCAAGGGCCUUGGGAAGAGUUAUAUUUUCUGCUUAAUAGCCCGCCCACCUUGGAAACUGCUCAACUAGAGGUAGGGUCUAGUGGUUGGAAGAGCAUCGCAUGUCGCAUGGUACCCGAUGCACCCUUGAUGGCCCCUGAAAAUGCGGAGGACCGAGUACCGUCCAUGCCUAAUCGUACUCAUAACUAUAUCAGGUCUCCAAGGUGAACAACCUCUGAUCAAUGGAACAAUGUAGGCAAGAAAAGUUGGAAAAAUGGAUCUGUAACCUCGAGAAAAGGAUUGGCUCUAAGGGCUGGGCAUAGGUGUCCUAGUCCCAAACCCAUCAACUGUCGGUGAAUUGCUCAAGUUGCUCCCACAAAGAGAGUGGGUCGCCACAUACCGGUCGAGGAACAGACUAGGAACAACUCCCUCGGGGGCAUUCCUCAAGCAUCAAACAAUCGACUCAGAAUCGGCAUGGACAAGGAGAAUCCGACUAUUUAACUAAAACAAAGCAUUACAAUGGUCCCUACGGAUGCUCAUGCAAUGUGAUUUCUGCCCAAUGCUCUGAAUGUCAAAGUGAAGAAAUUUAACCAAGCAUGGGUAAACGACAAGAGUAACUAUGACUCUCUUAAGGUAGCCAAAUGCCUCAUCAUCUAAUUAGUGACAUGCAUGAAUGGAUUAACGGGAUUCCCACUGUUCUUGUUUACUAUUUAGUGAAACCACAACCAAGGGAAUGGGCUUAGCAGAAUCAGCGGGGAAAGAAGACCCUGUUGAGCUUGACUCUAGUUCGACUUUGUGAAAUGACUUGAGAGGUGUAGGAUAAGUGGGAAUCGAAAAUGGCAAAAGUGAAAUACCACUACUUUUAACGUUAUUUUACUUAUUCUGUGAAUCAGAUGCGGAGAGCAUCCCCUCCUUUUGGACCUAAGGCGCGCCCAAUGUGCUGAUCCAGGGGAAAGACAUUGUUAGGUGGGGAGUUUGGCAGGGAUGACACAUCUAUUAAAAGAUAAUGUAGGUGUCCUAAGAUGAGAUCAACUAGAAUAGAAAUCUCCUAUGGAAUAAAAGGGUAAAAACUCAUUUGAUUUUGAUUUCUAGUAUGAAUACGAACCGUGAAAGUAUGGCAUAUCGAUCCUUUAGACCUUUGGAAUUUGAAGCUAGAGGUUUCAGAAAGGUUACCACAGGGAUAACUAGCUUUGUGGCAGCCAAAUGUUCAUAGCAACGUUGUUUUUUGAUCCUUUGAUGUCGGCUCUUACUAUAAUUGUGAAAUAGAAUUCACCAAGUGUGGGAUUGUUCACCCACUAAUAAGGAAUGUGAGCUAGGUUUAGACCGUCAUGAGACAGGUUCUACCCUACUGAUGACAGUGUCGCAAUAGUAAUUCAACCUAGUAUGAGAGGAACUAUUGAUUCACAUAAUUGGUCAUCGUGCUUGGUUGAAAAGCUAGUGGUGCAAAGCUACUAUGCAUUGGAUUAUGACUGAACACCUCUAAGUCAGAAUUCGAGCUAAAAGCAACACAUACUCCUGCCACCUAAUUUUUGACCCUCAACAGAGGCCACCCGACCUCGAGAGGCACGUGUCCUUGGUCAAGCUCACGUAGUGAAUGAGCUGCACGGGCCACCUUGAAGUAUCAUUCUGACUGAGUGGCAAGUAGAAUCCUUUGUAGAUGACUUAAAUACACAACGGGGUAUUGUAAGUGGUAGAGUGUCCUUGCUGCCAUGAUCCAUUGAGAUUCAGCCCUAUGUCUCUCUGAUUCGU